GAACCCGGCUGGGACCUGGCAGGAGGUGGCCACGCGCUGAGCACGCUCCGACUGUCUGGACCCUGGGUACCUGGCUGAAGACUUUGGACUUUAACCUGGAGAUGAUGGAGAGUAUGCAGGAUAAAGUCCAUACCAAAUCCAACGCCUAGCAAAUGGAGAACAAGCCAAAACUAACAAGAUAAAAUGUAGCAGGAAAAAGUGCAAAGAUUGAUUGUGUCAUUUCAGAGCUGAAGUGUGGAAUAAGUGGGAGAGGUCUGCCAUGCCCUAUCUGACCUUGCUGCCAUGAUCUUUAAGGCUGUGUGUCCUGGUUGGUGCAGCUACAAGAUGGCAGAAAUGCCUAAGUGAUGGUAUGGAACAGAGGAUCCCUCUUCUCACCAUUGUCUUGCAUGUUUCCUUGUGUGAACCACAAAUAAACUUUUGUUAUGUUAAGCUG
rnacentral:lncRNA from 1 species